rnacentral:rRNA from 1 species
UGCAGUCGACGAUGAAGCUUCUAGCUUGCUAGAAGUGGAUUAGUGGCGCACGGGUGAGUAAGGUAUAGUUAAUCUGCCCUACACAAGAGGACAACAGUUGGAAACGACUGCUAAUACUCUAUACUCCUGCUUAACACAAGUUGAGUAGGGAAAGUUUUUCGGUGUAGGAUGAGACUAUAUAGUAUCAGCUAGUUGGUAAGGGAAUGGGUUUCCCCGGGGAUGACACGCUUAACUGGUCUGAGAGGAUGAUCAGUCACACUGGAACUGAGACACGGUCCAGACUCCUACGGGAGGCAGCAGUAGGGAAUAUUGCGCAAUGGGGGAAACCCUGACGCAGCAACGCCGCGUGGAGGAUGACACUUUUCGGAGCGUAAACUCCUUUUCUUAGGGAAAAAUUCUGACGGUACCUAAGGAAUAAGCACCGGCUAACUCCGUGCCAGCAGCCGCGGUAAUACGGAGGGGGCAAGCGUUACUCGGAAUCACUGGGCGUAAAGGGCCCGUAGGCGGAUUAUCAAGUCUCCUUGUGAAAUCUAAUGGCUUAACCAUUAAACUGCUUGGGAAACUGAUAGUCUAGAGUGAGGGAGAGGCAGAUGGAAUU